GGUUGGUCCAGUGUUUCAUCAAAAUAAGGACAAGAUUAGCUCAACAACACAAAAGAUAAUUGAAGAUGAAAUUAAAAGAUUGUUAAAAGAGAGUCAUGACAGAGCUUACCAGCUGCUAAAGACUCAUGCUACAGAACACAAAAGACUAGCGGAAGGUUUAUUGAAGUAUGAGACUUUAGAUUUAGAAGAAAUUAAACAAGUGAUCAGUGGGAAGCCAUUAUCAAGAUCAGUAUAAACCACACCCACUGUCCCUCUCUUGUGUUGUAUUGUCAUUGCAUUCAUUUAUGUAUUAUAUUAAUAAUAAUAAUAAUAAUAAUAAUAAUAAUAAUAAUAAUAAUAGUUCAGCAAUGUUUUUAAUAGGACAAGAAGCAAAUCUAUAAGAAA